AUUGAACGCUGGCGGCAGGCUUAACACAUGCAAGUCGAGCGGGGUGAUGGUGCUUGCACUAUCACUUAGCGGCGGACGGGUGAGUAAUGCUUAGGAAUCUGCCUAUUAGUGGGGGACAACAUCUCGAAAGGGAUGCUAAUACCGCAUACGUCCUACGGGAGAAAGCAGGGGAUCACUUGUGACCUUGCGCUAAAGGAUGAGCCUAAGUCGGAUUAGCUAGUUGGUGGGGUAAAGGCCUACCAAGGCGACGAUCUGUAGCGGGUCUGAGAGUAGGAUCCGCCACACUGGGACUGAGACACGGCCCAGAAUCCUACGGGAGGCAGCAGUGGGGAAUAUUGGACAAUGGGGGGAACCCUGAUCCAGCCAUGCCGCGUGUGUGAAGAAGGCCUUAUGGUUGUAAAGCACUUUAAGCGAGGAGGAGGCUCUUUUGGUUAAUACCCAAGAUGAGUGGACGUUACUCGCAGAAUAAGCACCGGCUAACUCUGUGCCAGCCGCCGCCGUAA
rnacentral:rRNA from 1 species